AUUGAACGCUGGCGGCAGGCCUAACACAUGCAAGUCGAACGAGUGGCGGACGGGUGAGUAAUGUCUGGGAAACUGCCUGAGGGAGGGGGAUAACUACUGGAACCGGUAGCUAAUACCGCAUACCAUCGGAUGUGCCCAGAUGGGAUUAGCUAGUAGGUGGGGUAACGGCUCACCUAGGCGACGAUCCCUAGCUGGUCUGAGAGGAUGACCAGCAAAACUGGACUUGAGACACGGUCCAGACUCCUACGGUAGGCAGCAGUGGGGAAUAUUGCACAAUGGGCGCAAGCCGGAUGCAGCCAUGCCGCGUGUGUUAAGAAGGCCUUCGGGUUGUAAAGCACUUUCAGCGAGGAGGCGUUACUCGCAGAAGAAGCACCGGCUAACUCCGUGCCAGCAGCCGCGGUAAUAC
rnacentral:rRNA from 1 species